rnacentral:rRNA from 1 species
UACGUAGGGUGCAAGCGUUGUCCGGAAUUAUUGGGCGUAAAGAGCUCGUAGGCGGUCUGUUGCGUCGGCUGUGAAAACCCGAGGCUCAACCUCGGGCCUGCAGCCGAUACGGGCAGACUAGAGUUCGGCAGGGGAGACUGGAAUUCCUGGUGUAGCGGUGAAAUGCGCAGAUAUCAGGAGGAACACCAAUGGCGAAGGCAGAUCUCUGGGCCGUAACUGACGCUGAGGAGCGAAAGCAUGGGGAGCGAACAGG